rnacentral:rRNA from 1 species
UACGAAGGGGGCUAGCGUUGCUCGGAAUCACUGGGCGUAAAGGGCGCGUAGGCGGGCUGUCAAGUCUGGGGUGAAAUCCCGCGGCUCAACCGUGGAACUGCCUCAGAUACUGACGGUCUCGAGGGAGGUAGGGGCGAGCGGAACUGAUGGUGGAGCGGUGAAAUGCGUUGAUAUCAUCAGGAACUCCGGUGGCGAAGGCGGCUCGCUGGACCUCUUCUGACGCUGAGGCGCGAGAGCCAGGGGAGCAAACGGG